UACGGAGGGGGCUAGCGUUGUUCGGAAUUACUGGGCGUAAAGCGCACGUAGGCGGCGAUUUAAGUCAGAGGUGAAAGCCCGGGGCUCAACCCCGGAAUUGCCUUUGAGACUGGAUUGCUAGAAUCUUGGAGAGGCGGGUGGAAUUCCGAGUGUAGAGGUGAAAUUCGUAGAUAUUCGGAAGAACACCGGUGGCGAAGGCGGCCCGCUGGGCAGGAAGGGGUGGGUAACCACCCCGGCUGACACUGAGGCGCGACAGCGUGGGGAGCAAACAGG
rnacentral:rRNA from 1 species